rnacentral:rRNA from 1 species
UACGUAUGGUGCAAGCGUUAUCCGGAUUUACUGGGUGUAAAGGGAGCGUAGACGGUUGUGUAAGUCUGAUGUGAAAACCCGGGGCUCAACCCCGGGACUGCAUUGGAAACUAUGCAGCUAGAGUGCCGGAGAGGUAAGCGGAAUUCCUAGUGUAGCGGUGAAAUGCGUAGAUAUUAGGAGGAACACCAGUGGCGAAGGCGGCUUACUGGACGGUAACUGACGUUGAGGCUCGAAAGCGUGGGGAGCAA